rnacentral:rRNA from 1 species
UUUAAGGUCUAAUCUGCCCUAUGAGGAAUUAAAUGGCCGCGGUACUCUGACCGUGCAAAGGUAGCAUAAUAAUUAGUUUUUUAAUUGAAAGCUGGAAUGAAUGAUUGGACGAGAAAAUAGCUGUCUCAGUUUAAUUUAAUUAGAAUUUUAUUUUUAAGUAAGAAAGCUUAAAUUUUUUUAAAAGACGAGAAGACCCUAUAGAGUUUUAUAUUUGUUUAAUUAUGGGUUUUUUAGGUUUUUUUUAUUUGUAUUUAUGUGAGUAUUUUGUUGGGGCGAUAGAAAAAUAUAGUGAACUUUUUUUUUAUUGUUACAUUUAUUUAUGAAAUUUUGAUCCAUUAUUUUUGAUUAUAAGAUUAAAUUACCUUAGGGAUAACAGCGUAAUUUUUUUUUAGAGUUCUUAUCGAAAAAAGAGAUUGCGACCUCGAUGUUGGAUUAAAAUAAAUGUUUGGUGUAGGAGCUAAAUAAUUGGGUCUGUUCGACCUUUGGAAUUUUACA